rnacentral:rRNA from 1 species
CAGUCGCCGCGGUAAUACGAAGGGUGCUAGCGUUGUUCGGAAUGACUGGGCGUAAAGGGUGCGUAGGUGGCCAUAUGCGUCAGAUGUGAAAGCCCCAGGCUUAACCUGGGAACUGCAUUUGAUACGGUAUGGCUAGAGUAUGGUAGAGGGUAGUGGAAUUGCGAGUGUAGAGGUGAAAUUCGUAGAUAUUCGCAGGAACACCAGUGGCGAAGGCGACUACCUGGGCCAUUACUGACACUGAGGCACGAAAGCGUGGGGAGCAAACAGGAUUAGAUACCCCCGUAGUCCCUGUCUCUUAUAC